UGCANGUCGAACGAAGUAGCAAUACUUAGUGGCAGACGGGUGAGUAACAUGUAGGUAUCUUCCCUAUGGUGAGGAAUAACACGAGGAAACUUGUGCUAAUACCUCAUAAGUCUUUACGGAGAAAGCUUUACGCGCCAUUGGAUGAGCCUGCACUUGAUUAGUUUGUUGGUAGGGUAAUGGCCUACCAAGACAAUGAUCAAUAGCUGAUUUGAGAGGAUGAUCAGCCACAUUGGGACUGAGACACGGCCCAAACUCCUACGGGAGGCAGCAGUAGGGAAUCGUGCACAAUGGGGGAAACCCUGAUGCAGCGAUGCCGCGUGAGUGAAGAAGGCCUUUGGGUUGUAAAGCUCUUUCGUCGGGGAAGAAAAUGACUGUACCCGAAUAAGAAGGUCCGGCUAACUUCGUGCCAGCAGCCGCGGUAAUACGAAGGGACCUAGCGUAGUUCGGAAUUACUGGGCUUAAAGAGUUCGUAGGUGGUUAAAAAAGUUGGUGGUGAAAUCCCAGAGCUUAACUCUGGAACUGCCAUCAAAACUUUUUAGCUAGAGUAUGAUAGAGGAAAGCAGAAUUUCUAGUGUAGAGGUGAAAUUCGUAGAUAUUAGAAAGAAUACCAAUUGCGAANGCAGCUUUCUGGAUCAUUACUGACACUGAGGAACGAAAGCAUGGGUAGCGAAGANGAUUAGAUACCCUCGUAGUCCAUGCCGUAAACGAUGUGUGUUAGACGUUGGAAAUUUAUUUUCAGUGUCGCAGCGAAAGCAAUAAACACACCGCCUGGGGANUACGACCGCANGGUUAAAACUCAAAUGAANUNGGCGGGGACCCGCACAAGUA
rnacentral:rRNA from 1 species